rnacentral:rRNA from 1 species
UACGGAGGGGGCUAGCGUUGUUCGGAAUUACUGGUCGGAAAGCGCACGUAGGCGGCUUUGUAAGUUAGAGGUGAAAGCCCGGGGCUCAACUCCGGAAUUGCCUUUAAGACUGCAUCGCUAGAAUUGUGGAGAGGUAAGUGGAAUUCCGAGUGUAGAGGUGAAAUUCGUAGAUAUUCGGAAGAACACCAGUGGCGAAGGCGACUUACUGGACACAUAUUGACGCUGAGGUGCGAAAGCGUGGGGAGCAAACAGG